UUAAACUUUAAUAUAUUAUUGUAUUGUAUUAGUCCUGAAAAUCUGCAUCAAUAUUUACUGAAUAGGAAAAUUUGGAUUUGUCGAUCGGAUGUAUGAUGUUGAUCGGAACAUUGUGUAUUUUUUAAAGUUAUAGCUUUUUGCUAUAAAAACAUCAUCAAACCAGAAAAAAAAAAUUGUCACAAUAAUAAGUGAUGGCCUGGUUGCCCUUAUAGCCGAACCACGCAACCAAGAAGGAGUUAACAGAUGUUGAGUUUUACUUUUUUAUGAAUAUUGGCAAUGUGAAAUAAUCUAAUUAACACAUAAAAAUAAACCAUAUCAUAUAACGGAUGUUACAAGAUAUACUCGACGCAUUCUCUACCUCGCAUCUUUGUUGCUCUCCACAAAGGAUCGAAGCUAUCUUUAAUUAAAGCAGUCACAACCCUUAAGGUCAGAAUAUCUAAUUUCAAUGGCUUUGUGGGCUUAAAUUCAAGGCUGUCGCCAGCCUGUAGAAUGAAGGAGGAAGGCAAAUUAAAAGAAAUUUUGGAAAUUGGAAAAGGGAUAAUUAUCAGUUGUGGCACCUAUUUUUUAUUUCGAUAAGGAGGUCAGCAAAGUAAUCAAAAGCAUUUUUUUUUUAAUUUUCAUUAAAUGUUCCAUAAAAUGUUGUUAAUUUUGGCUACCGACUACGUUUCAGAUUUUUUAUAUUAAUUUUUAAAUAUACUCUCACUUUAAAUAAAUUAUAUAUAUUUUAA